rnacentral:rRNA from 1 species
GACGAGGGAUCCUAGCGUUGUUCGGAAUCAUUGGGCGUAAAGCGGGUGUAGGUGGCUUUGUAGGUCAGGUGUGAAAGCCCAGGGCUCAACCCUGGAAGUGCAUUUGAUACUGCGAAGCUUGAGUGCUGGAGAGGCUAUUAGAAUUCCUGGUGUAGUGGUGAAAUACGUAGAUAUCAGGAGGAAUACCGGAGGCGAAGGCGGAUAGCUAGCCAGACACUGACACUCAGACCCGAAAGUGUGGGGAUCAAACAGG